rnacentral:rRNA from 1 species
GACGAACGCUGGCGGCGUGCUUAACACAUGCAAGUCGAACGGAAAGGCCCUGCUUUUGUGGGGUGCUCGAGUGGCGAACGGGUGAGUAACACGUGAGUAACCUGCCCUUGACUUUGGGAUAACUUCAGGAAACUGGGGCUAAUACCGGAUAGGAGCUCCUGAUGCAUGGUGGGGGUUGGAAAGUUUCGGCGGCUGGGGAUGGACUCGCGGCUUAUCAGCUUGUUGGUGGGGUAGUGGCUUACAAAGGCUUUGACGGGUAGCCGGCCUGAGAGGGUGACCGGCGUCAUUGGGACUGCGGUACGGCCCAGACUCCUACGGUAGGCAGCAGUGGGGAAUAUUGCACAGUGGGCGGAAGCCUGAUGCAGCAACGCCGCGUGCGGGAUGACGGCCUUCUGGUUGUAAACCGCUUUCUCCUGUGACGAAGCGGGAUUGACGGUAAUGGGUAAAGAAGCACCGGCUAACUACGUG